UACGUAGGGUGCGAGCGUUAAUCGGAAUUACUGGGCGUAAAGCGUGCGCAGGCGGUUCGUUGUGUCGGCGGUGAAAGCCCCGGGCUUAACCUGGGAAUGGCCGUUGAAACUGGCGAACUGGAGUGUGGCAGAGGGGGAUGGAAUUCCGCGUGUAGCAGUGAAAUGCGUAGAUAUGCGGAGGAACACCGAUGGCGAAGGCAAUCCCCUGGACCUGUACUGACGCUCAUGCACGAAAGCGUGGGGAGCAAACAGG
rnacentral:rRNA from 1 species